rnacentral:rRNA from 1 species
CUACGGGGGGCUGCAGUGAGGAAUAUUGCACAAUGGGGGGAACCCUGAUGCAGCAAUGCCGCGUGGAGGAUGACGCAUUUCGGUGUGUAAACUCCUUUUAUAUGUCAAGAAAAUGACGGUAGCAUAUGAAUAAGCACCGGCUAACUCCGUGCCAGCAGCCGCGGUAAUACGGAGGGUGCAAGCGUUACUCGGAAUCACUGGGCGUAAAGGACGCGUAGGCGGGUUGGAAAGUCAGGUGUGAAAUCCUACAGCUUAACUGUAGAACUGCACUUGAAACUUCUAAUCUAGAGUAUGGGAGGGGGAGAUGGAAUUAGUGGUGUAGGGGUACAAUCCGUAGAUAUCACUAGGAAUACCUAAAGCGAAGGCGAUCUCCUGGAACAUUACUGACGCUAAGGCGUGAAAGCGUGGGGAGCAAACAGGAUUAGAACCCCGGUAGUC